rnacentral:rRNA from 1 species
AACGAACGCUGGCGGCAUGCCUAACACAUGCCAGUCGAACGAGACCUUCGGGUCUAGUGGCGCACGGGUGCGUAACGCGUGGGAACCUGCCCUUAGGGUCGGAAUAACUCCCCGAAAGGGGUGCUAAUACCGGAUAAUGUCUUCGGACCAAAGAUUUAUCGCCUUUGGAUGGGCCAGCGUUGGAUUAGCUAGUUGGUAGGGUAAAAGCCUACCAAGGCGACGAUCCAUAGCUGGUCUGAGAGGCUGAUCAGCCACACUGGGACUGAGACACGGCCCAGACUCCUACGGGAGGCAGCAGUGGGGAAUAUUGGACAAUGGGCGAAAGCCUGAUCCAGCAAUGCCGCGUGAGUGAUGAAGGCCUUAGGGUUGUAAAGCUCUUUUACCCGGGAUGAUAAUGACAGUACCGGGAGAAUAAGCUCCGGCUAACUCCGUG